rnacentral:rRNA from 1 species
GAUGAACGCUAGCGAUAGGCUUAACACAUGCAAGUCGAGGGGCAUCACGGAAUAGCAAUAUUUUGGUGGCGACCGGCGCACGGGUGAGUAACACGUAUGCAACCUACCCAUGACAGUGGAAUAACCCGUCGAAAGGCGGACUAAUACCGCAUAAUAACGAGAUACCGCAUGGUAUUUUGUUCAAAGAUUUAUCGGUCAUGGAUGGGCAUGCGUUCCAUUAGGUAGUUGGCGGGGCAACGGCCCACCAAGCCAUCGAUGGAUAGGGGUUCUGAGAGGAAGGUCCCCCACACUGGUACUGAGACACGGACCAGACUCCUACGGGAGGCAGCAGUGAGGAAUAUUGGUCAAUGGGCGAGAGCCUGAACCAGCCAAAUCGCGUGAAGGAUGAAGGUAUUAUGUAUUGUAAACUUCUUUUACAGGGGAAUAAAGUGCGGGACGUGUCCCGUUUUGUAUGUACCCUGAGAAUAAGGAUCGGCUAACUCCGUGCCAGCAGCCGCGGUAAAACGU